CAAAUACUCCCUUCGUCCAGAAAUACUUGUCAUCAAAAUGGAUAAAAGGAAAUGUAUCUAGACGUAUUUUAGUUUUAGAUACAUCUCUUUUUAUCCAUUUUGAUGACAAGUAUUUUCGGAUGGAGGGAGUAGAAA
rnacentral:pre_miRNA from 1 species